UCUGGUGAUUGUCAAGAGCAGGAAGAAGGAUGGGCCUUCUAAAGGUAUGUCUAAAAUGCUCGUUAUUGUAACUAAUCUAAUGAUUUUUUUUUUCUUCUAGUUAGGUUUUUGAUUCGGGUUCAAGUGCUUAUUUGUGCAUUUCAAUGCAGAACCUUGAAGAAAUUAGGGGGCUGAGGGAAGGUGAGAUCACUUUUCGAGUC
rnacentral:lncRNA from 1 species